rnacentral:rRNA from 1 species
CUACGGGGUGCACCAGUGAGGUAUAUUGCACAAUGGGGGGAACCCUGAUGCAGCAACGCCGCGUGGAGGAUGACGCAUUUCGGUGUGUAAACUCCUUUUAUAUGUCAAGAAAAUGACGGUAGCAUAUGAAUAAGCACCGGCUAACUCCGUGCCAGCAGCCGCGGUAAUACGGAGGGUGCAAGCGUUACUCGGAAUCACUGGGCGUAAAGGACGCGUAGGCGGGUUGGAAAGUCAGGUGUGAAAUCCUACAGCUUAACUGUAGAACUGCACUUGAAACUUCUAAUCUAGAGUAUGGGAGGGGAAGAUGGAAUUAGUGGUGUAGGGGUAAAAUCCGUAGAUAUCACUAGGAAUACCUAAAGCGAAGGCGAUCUCCUGGAACAUUACUGACGCUAAGGCGUGAAAGCGUGGGGAGCAAACAGGAUUAGAUACCCUAGUAGUC